UACAGAGGUCGUCAAGCGUUGUUCGGAUUCAUUGGGCGUAAAGGGUGCGUAGGUGGCGUCGUAAGUCAGGUGUGAAAUUUCGGAGCUUAACCUUCGAAACUGCAUUUGAUAACUGCGGUGCUUGAGGACUGGAGAGGAGACUGGAAUUUACGGUGUAGCAGUGAAAUGCGUAGAGAUCGUAAGGAAGACCGUGCGAAGGCGGUCUCGUGGACAGUUCCUGACACUGAGGCACGAAGGCCAGGGGAGCAAACGGG
rnacentral:rRNA from 1 species